ACUCAAAGGAAUAGACGGGGGCCCGCACAAGCGGUGGAGCAUGUUGUUUAAUACGUCACUAACCGUAGAACCUUACCAAGGCUUGACAUCUGCUGACCGCCGGUGAAAGCCGGUUUUCCCCGCAAGGGGACAGCAAGACAGGUGUUGCAUGGCUGUCGUCAGCUCGUGUCGUGAGAUGUUGGGUUAAGUCCCGCAACGAGCGCAACCCCCACCCCAUGUUGCCAGCGGGUCAAGCCGGGAACUCUUGGGGAACUGCCCGGGUAACCGGGAGGAAGGUGGGGACGACGUCAAGUCAGCAUGGCCCUUACGCCUUGGGCUACAAACAUGCUACAAUGGACGGCAGACAGAGGGACCCGAUACCGCGAGGUGGUGGCAAUCCCAGAAAUCCGUUCCCAGUUCAGAUCGCAGGCUGCAACUCGCCUGCGUGAAGUCGGAAUCGCUAGUAACCGCAGAUCAGAUAUGCUGCGGUGAAUACGUUCCCGGGCCUUGCACACACCGCCCGU
rnacentral:rRNA from 1 species